UGAUGCGCGCUAAUCAGUUCAUUCUAGAAAAUACAUCAGGGUCCCCUGUGUCGAUCUCUAUCAAGUCCAUCAUGGGUGAAACUGAGUCCCGUGGAAGAGGGGCCAAAUGUUGCUGGGGAGGGAUCAGGUGGCACUGUAACAGUGUCAGAUGAUACAGUGGGGGCUCCGAAUUGUAUUGUGACGGUGUCGGAUGAUAUGAUGGAGGAGUAGGGUUGCAUUGAGGUGGCAUUAGAUCCUCUCGUUGUAGGAUGUCUCAUAUUGUAGAAGUGGUGGAGGGUCAGAUAGUUCCCUCCUCUCUUCCUUGGCUUUCUGGGCAGAAAUGAGUCUUUUAAAAUUUUGAAGAGUCGAUCAACAUCCUCUCAGAGCGACCCAUCUCGGGCUACCCUGUUCAGUAAGGGACUUCAUC
rnacentral:lncRNA from 1 species